rnacentral:lncRNA from 1 species
GACAAAGAGAAAUUUAUCAAUUAAAAAGCCAUUUAAACAAAAGACCAAUUUAUACAUUCUUUUGAAUUAUGUCCAUAAAAGAUUUAAAUAUACAAAUCACAACCCCAAACCCAAAAGAAUCUUUUUAAACAAAUGAAAUACAUAUAAUGACAAAUUCGGAAUCCAAUUCAAUGAUGGAGCAAUGGUACCAUAAUUUCUUUAAAUAAAUUCUAUUUACU